rnacentral:rRNA from 1 species
GACAGAGGGUGCAAACGUUGCUCGGAAUUACUGGGCGUAAAGCGCGUGUAGGUGGAUUGGUGUGUCAGAUGUGAAAGCCCUGGGCUCGACCCAGGAACUGCACCUGAAACUACCAGUCUUGAGUGGUGGAGAGGGAAGUGGAAUUCCUGGUGUAGAGGUGAAAUUCGUAGAUAUCAGGAGGAACACCAGUGGCGAAGGCGGCUUCCUGGACACUAACUGACGCUGAGACGCGAAAGCGUGGGGAGCAAACAGG